rnacentral:rRNA from 1 species
UACGUAGGGUGCAAGCGUUGUCCGGAAUUAUUGGGCGUAAAGAGCUCGUAGGCGGUUCGUCGCGUCGGCUGUGAAAACCCGGAGCUCAACUCCGGGCCUGCAGUCGAUACGGGCGGACUUGAGUGUUGCAGGGGAGACUGGAAUUCCUGGUGUAGCGGUGAAAUGCGUAGAUAUCAGGAGGAACACCGGUGGCGAAGGCGGGUCUCUGGGCAGUAACUGACGCUGAGGAGCGAAAGCGUGGGGAGCGAACAGG